UACAGAGGUCCCAAGCGUUGUUCGGAUUCACUGGGCGUAAAGGGUGCGUAGGUGGUCGGGUAAGUCUGAUGUGAAAUCUCUGAGCUUAACUCAGAAACUGCAUUGGAUACUAUUCGGCUGGAGGAGUGGAGGGGGGACUGGAAUACUUGGUGUAGCAGUGAAAUGCGUAGAUAUCAAGUGGAACACCAGUGGCGAAGGCGAGUCCCUGGACACUUCCUGACACUGAGGCACGAAAGCUAGGGGAGCAAACAGG
rnacentral:rRNA from 1 species